rnacentral:rRNA from 1 species
AGCGCAGGCGGGAAGGUAAGUCUAUCUUAAAAGUGCGGGGCUCAACCCCGUGAGGGGAUAGAAACUAUUUUCCUUGAGUGCAGGAGAGGAAAGCGGAAUUCCUAGUGUAGCGGUGAAAUGCGUAGAUAUUAGGAGGAACACCAGUGGCGAAGGCGGCUUUCUGGACGGUAACUGACGUUGAGGCUCGAAAGCGUGGGGAGCAAACA